rnacentral:lncRNA from 10 species
CCCCAUAUAUUUGCCCCUUGUAUAUAUGACUGACAUAGAAGAUGAAGGUGAAAAUUUACGAUUUCAAGAUAUUCUUAGAAGAUAUCUGGUCUACUUUUUUGAGGUAUAACAUUUUUCUGAGAGUCAACUUUUGUUGGGAAGAAAGCAAGUGGAAAUAUGGUUGCUGCCUAAGAAGUAAUAAUAGGAGAUACAAGAAACAGCUUGAAAUGGAAUAGGUAUGUAAAACACUAGUGGAGCAGAAACACAGUCGAAAAUAACAUGCAAAAACAAACAUAGUAAGCAACUAUAAAGAAUGCAUUUUGGGGCUCAUAUGUGUACUUUUACAGGUGUAGUGCAGUAUAUAAUGAAGCAAAGCCAGGAUUUUGAAGCGUAUGAGGGGACUUUAAAAAGUUCGUGGAAAAAUGGAACUGAAAGAUAAAAGUAAAAAAGUACAAACUAUUUCUCAACAUAAGGUCCUUCAAGAUCAAUACACUUUUGCAAAUGACACCAGCCAUUUAGUUAACCGAUGAAGAGCUAAAAGUCCUGGGAAUUCAACUAUGUCCAUGCAGUCUUCUUUACAUUAUUAACUGAAGAAAAGUGGGUGCCCUUUACAGAAUUUUUCUAAGAUAAGGGAACAAAAAGAAGUCAGCAGGAGCCAAUUCAGGAUGGUAAGGUGUAUGCUUACCACUUUAUCAUUAAAACUCUCAUAAAAUUGCUGUGGUUUGAUGAUAGGAAUGAGCAGAAUCAUUAUCCUCAAGGAGAAGGACUCUGAUGAAGCUUUUCCAGGCAUCAUUUUCUUAAAACGAGUUACCCGUUUGUAAACUACUGACUUCUUUGGGUUGGGGAAGGGGGGCAUUGUCCCCAUAAAUCUUUCUCUCCUUUUAUUCACACACAAAAUCACUAUUUUAUUAAUCCUAAUUAGGUAUUUUUAAUUUCGGGUAUCCAUUACAUCAAGCAUUUAUUAUUUCUUUUUGAAUAGAACAUUUCAAAGCAUCAAUAGUUUCACCAUUCUUUCACCCAAGCUUCACCAUAAAUUUAAUUUUUGUUCCUGCUUCAAUUUUAGUAGAAUGUAUGUUUCUCUGAUGGGGCUGUUUUCAGACUGAUGUCUUAACCUUCUUAGGUUAAGAAGAUUUUUUUAGAUUUUAACUAGAUUUUUUUCAGACAUGAUACAACUUAGUAUGAGUUUGUUUUGGUUCAAAAGAUUUUUUGAAAUCCAUGCAGUUUUUUUCAAAACUUUUUCAUGACCUUUUUCACGAACUUUUUGAACACCCCUUGUAUAGUCUUCAAAUCUUUCUAAAGUCAAGAGGAGACACACAUACUUUACACACAUAGCCAAUACAGUAUUGUAAACACUAUAACUCUUAUUCAUGAAUGGCAUAAUUACAAAUUAAAAUCUGUAUGGGAUUUACACAAAUGUUUUCAAGUGCACUAUUUAUUUCCUCCACAUUCAAGAGAAUAUUCCAGUGCAUAGUGGAGAGUGUGUGUGUGUGUGUGUGCGCACAUUUUCCCUAUUGCCUCACAAUGCAUCGGGUUAUUGUCACUAUUUGACGAAGACCCUGUUUAGUUCUAGAUUGAUUUUAAACAGCUAAAAAUAUUUGCAAAAAGAAUUGCAAUUUCUUGCUUCGUGUCCACAUACAUUCUGUAAAAUUUUCACUUGAUUAAGGCAGCCCUCUUUAUAACAGUUUCUAUUAGUCUUAGAGUAAUUGAAAGCAUUUUGUGUUUGUCAUAUCUCUUUAUGUGUUUGUAAUUUCUUUUAUUUCCAGUUAUUAUUAGGUGAGAAAAUAAAUGAUUAAAAAAAACUAUGAAAAAUCUUCUACUAGCGUGAUUUUGGGUGAGAUACUAAAUCUAUCUGAAUUUCAGAUUUAUGAACUCUAAAGGGUUCAUGACAGUAACUAAAAUGUUUCUCCCAAUAUCAACAUUCUGGUUCUAAGUUUACAGAUUGAUUUUUUUUGGGGGGGGCAAGAUGGUACCAAAAGAAACAUUUUCUAUCACUUUAAACCUUAUGAAAUUUCCCAUUUCUGAGAUUUAAGAGAAUCAUUCAAGAAGAACUAAAAAGUAAUACAAUUAGGGACAUACUAUAAUUUAUUAUGGAAUAACUUGACAACCCAGAAUUGACAUUUUGUAACUGUUACUCUCUCCCAAUAUUAUUUUUUCUCAUAAAUAUGCUUAGGAAAUAUUUUGUGAAUAUAAUUUAAAAAGACAUAUGGAGAGAAUUACUCAUUUGUGUGCUAUUCUAUAUGUGGAUGUUUUGUUGGCAACUCAGG